ACAAGAUACAAAUUCUACUGCACACUUUGUGGGUUAAGUACGCUAGCGCGUUUCUCUGCAUACUUUCUCUCCACUUUCUUUUCAGUUUCAGAACAUGAUUUCCCUCGUUCUUUUCGAUUUUUGCUCGAAAAUUUUCCUCCCAAAAUAUUCUCCAUAAAGAUCGUGGAUGUUUAUCACGAUCUCAAUUACAGUUUCUCUUCUGAUAAAAAUCCAUAAAUUCAGUUUCCAUAGCAAAAUUAGCCCUAGGUUUUGGAAAAACGAAUCAAAAAAAUUGGAGAAAUCAACUCCUUUGGUUACUGUGGAUAUCUGAUGAUGGCGUUCCAGAACUAGGAGGCACUAAUAAAGAUGAGACAUGCUUUGCUGAUGAAAAUUGUGAAAAAUCAUCAACAGUCUGAAGUGGUACAAUAAGCAAAAGGGAGUUUGGGGAUUGUUAAUUUUGAAAACUACUGUUGCUGGUGCUUCCUGUGAAUGUGAAUCUGAAUGUUCUCUACCGUGUUCUCAGGUGUGUGUACCAAAUUAAAUUGCAAACAAGAGAAAUGUUGCGUGUUUUGCCUUCAUUGGUUGAUGUGUCAAUAGCUGAGGGAAAGCAUUUCACUGUUUGUGGUGAUGUGCAUGGUCAGGAAUUCAUCUGGCUAGAGGUAACCAUGAGAGCAAGAACAUGAACAAGAUUUAUGGUUUUGAAGGUGAGGUAAAAUCAAAGUUGAGUGAGGAUUUUAUUGAACUCUUUGCCGAAGUGUUCUGUUGUCUACCCUUAGCACAUGUCUUGAAUGGGAAGGUUUUCAUAGUUCAUGGAGGGCUUUUUUGUGUUUAUGGGGUGAAACUUUCCGACAUUAGGAAAAUUGAUCGGUUCUGUGAACCUCCAGAAGAAGAUUCGUAAACUGGCCGUAAAUUCUCUUCUCAGGAGCAACCAAAUCAAUGAGAUAUUUUUGGAGCACAUGAAUAAACUGGCUUUCAUGAGGCUAGUGCAUGUGCAUCUGGGUUUCAUAUGCAGCUAUCAAUCCAUCAUUGCAAUACUUUACGAGGGAUUAACUAGACACCUGAAAGCAAAGGUUUCUUGGAGAGAUUCCCAGAAUAUCCUGCUCAGGUUCACUUACAUUUGCUUACAGUCACUAUUAAAUUGUUUAUGAAGAAUCCAACAAAAGGCCCACAAAGAAUGAUUUAGGUAGUCCUGAAUAAUACUACUGUUGAGACGGACAAUCCAAUUCUGCGUGAUCGGACCUAUAAUUAUUUGCAAGUCCAACACGGUAUUGCCAGGCUGUAAGUCCAUAGAAGUUAUCGUCUUCAGACAAUAAAUAUGGUGGAGAUGUCUUCAAGUCCAAAACGGUAUUUGCCAGGCUUUACAUGUUAGGGAGGACGUACAAGUUUAAGCUUCUCGCAAAAACCAUCAAAAAGGAUGGGCGACUAAAGGAUACAUUGACACUAAUAACAAAUUUAGUUUCGUCUUCUUGUAUUUGUAAAGAAAGAAAUGAUCCAAUCUUUAUCUGUUCGACUCUUUGCUUGUUUCAAAAGCAUAUAAGUAAUGAUAUUACGAGAAA